CAGGCUUGCACCAAAACAUCAGAUCUUCCUGGGUCUUGAGAUAGCUAGUUUUCAGACUGCAACUACACCAUCAUCUCUCCUGGUUCUCAGACCUUCAGACUUAGACUGAAACUUACAUAAUCAGCUCUCCUGGUCUCCAGCUUGCUGACAGCAGACUUUAGGACUUGUUAGACUCCACAGUGAAAGAUCACUCUGACUGCUACAUGGAAAAUGUGCUGGGGAGAAACAAGACUGCAGGAAAUAAGAGCAGUGAACAAGCUCUUGCUGUAAUUCAAGUCAGGUGUAGAAGCUGGAGCUGGAGCAGCCAUUCUGAACUAUGUCGAAAAUCUACCUGGAAAUAAAAAGUUGACUCACCGAUUCACACCAUUUCCAUUGCGUAACACAUGGAAACUAAUGGUGUUCUACAAUUGCUGAAGCAAGUGUAACACUAAAGUAAACUCAAGGGAUCUUUUCUAUUUACGGGCCAAUGAGAUUUCUAACCUCCAGUCCUAGAAGAUGCCUUCAAGCC
rnacentral:lncRNA from 1 species